rnacentral:siRNA from 1 species
UGCCAGAAUGGUUGAAUCUAUGUU